GCGUGCUUACACAUGCAAGUCGAACGGUGAAGCAGAGCUUGCUCUGUGGAUCAGUGGCGAACGGGUGAGAAACACGUGAGCAACCUGCCCCUGACUCUGGGAUAAGCGCUGGAAACGGCGUCUAAUACUGGAUAUGAGCUGCGAUCGCAUGGUCAGCAGUUGGAAAGAUUUUUCGGUCUGGGAUGGGCUCACGGCCUAUCAGCUUGUUGGUGAGGUAAUGGCUCACCAAGGCGUCGACGGGUAGCCGGCCUGAGAGGGUGACCGGCCACACUGGGACUGAGACACGGCCCAGACUCCUACGGGAGGCAGCAGUGGGGAAUAUUGCACAAUGGGCGAAAGCCUGAUGCAGCAACGCCGCGUGAGGGAUGACGGCCUUCGGGUUGUAAACCUCUUUUAGCAGGGAAGAAGCGAAAGUGACGGUACCUGCAGAAAAAGCGCCGGCUAACUACGUGCCAGCAGCCGCGGUAAUACGUAGGGCGCAAGCGUUAUCCGGAAUUAUUGGGCGUAAAGAGCUCGUAGGCGGUUUGUCGCGUCUGCUGUGAAAUCCCGAGGCUCAACCUCGGGUCUGCAGUGGGUACGGGCAGACUAGAGUGCGGUAGGGGAGAUUGGAAUUCCUGGUGUAGCGGUGGAAUGCGCAGAUAUCAGGAGGAACACCGAUGGCGAAGGCAGAUCUCUGGGCCGUUACUGACGCUGAGGAGCGAAAGGGUGGGGAGCAAACAGGCUUAGAUACCCUGGUAGUCCACCCCGUAAACGUUGGGAACUAGUUGUGGGGUCCAUUCCACGGAUUCCGUGACGCAGCUAACGCAUUAAGUUCCCCGCCUGGGGAGUACGGCCGCAAGGCUAAAACUCAAAGGAAUUGACGGGACCCGCACAAGCGGCGGAGCAUGCGGAUUAAUUCGAUGCAACGCGAAGAACUUACCAAGGCUUGACAUAUACGAGAACGGUCCAGAAUGGUCACUCUUGGGACCACUCGUAAACAGGUGGUGCAUGGUGUCGUCAGCUCGUG
rnacentral:rRNA from 1 species